rnacentral:lncRNA from 1 species
UGCAAAGUGUAUGUGAGCUCCUCUCUUGCUACAGUAAUGCUAUUGCUGGUGUCUGAGGCGGGACUGAGUUUGUCCACAGUUUGGAAAGCUUCCAGAAAAUAA